rnacentral:rRNA from 1 species
GAGAGUUUUCGGACAAUCUGGCUUCAGGUUCGGGACAACCACUGGAAACGGUGGCUAAUAUCGGAUAUGCCUUUAGAGGUGAAAGAUUAAUUGCCUGAAGAUGAGCUCGCGUCUGAUUAGCUAGUUGGUGGGGUAAGAGCCUACCAAGGCGACGAUCAGUAACUGGUCUGAGAGGAUGACCAGUCACACUGGGACUGAGACACGGCCCAGACUCCUACGGGAGGCAGCAGUGGGGAAUUUUCCGCAAUGGGCGAAAGCCUGACGGAGCAAUACCGCGUGAGGGAGGAAGGCUCUUGGGUUGUAAACCUCUUUUCUCAGGGAAGAACAAAAUGACGGUACCUGAGGAAUAAGCAUCGGCUAACUCCGUGCCAGCAGCCGCGGUAAUACGGAAGGAUGCAAGCGUUAUCCGGAAUUAUUGGGCGUAAAGCGUCCGCAGGUGGCAGUUCAGGUCUGCUGUCAAAGGUCAGGGCUCAACCCUGAACAGGCAGUGGAGACUGAACAGCUAGAGUGCGGUAGGGGCAGAGGGAAUUCCCAGUGUAGCGGUGAAAUGCGUAGAGAUUGGGAAGAACACCGGUGGCGAAAGCGCUCUGCUAGACCGUAACUGACACUCAGGGACGAAAGCUAGGGGAGCGAAUGGGAUUAGAUACCCCAGUAGUCCUAGCCGUAAACGAUGGAUACUAG